AGAGUUUGAUCCUGGCUCAGAUUGAACGCUGGCGGUAUGCUUAACACAUGCAAGUCGAACGCGAAAGUGGACUUCGGUCCGCGAGUAGAGUGGCGAACGGGUGCGUAACACGUAGGAAUCUGCCCUAAAGUGGGGGAUAACCCGAGGAAACUCGGGCUAAUACCGCAUAAGCUCUAUAUCUUUGAUGUAGAGUAAAGCAGGGGACCCUUUCGGGGGCCUUGUGCUUUAGGAUGAGCCUGCGGCAGAUUAGCUUGUUGGUGGGGUAAAGGCCUACCAAGGCGACGAUCUGUAGCUGGUCUGAGAGGACGAUCAGCCACACUGGAACUGAGACACGGUCCAGACUCCUACGGGAGGCAGCAGUGGGGAAUCUUGGACAAUGGGCGCAAGCCUGAUCCAGCAAUACCGCGUGUGUGAAGAAGGCCUGCGGGUUGUAAAGCACUUUCAGUAGGGAGGAAAUACUUAGGGUUAAUAACCCUGAGGGUUGACGUUACCUACAGAAGAAGCACCGGCUAACUCUGUGCCAGCAGCCGCGGUAAUACAGAGGGUGCAAGCGUUAAUCGGAGUUACUGGGCGUAAAGCGUGCGUAGGCGGAUAUUCAAGUCGGAUGUGAAAGCCCUGGGCUUAACCUGGGAACUGCAUUCGAUACUGGGUGUCUAGAGUAUGGUAGAGGGAAGUGGAAUUUCCGGUGUAGCGGUGAAAUGCGUAGAUAUCGGAAGGAACAUCAGUGGCGAAGGCGACUUCCUGGACCAAUACUGACGCUAAGGUACGAAAGCGUGGGGAGCAAACAGGAUUAGAGACCCUGGUAGUCCACGCCGUAAACGAUGAGAACUAGGUGUUAGGUCUGCUUUUGUAGAUUUAGUACCGAAGCUAACGCGUUAAGUUCUCCGCCUGGGGAGUACGGCCGCAAGGCUAAAACUCAAAGGAAUUGACGGGGGCCCGCACAAGCGGUGGAGCAUGUGGUUUAAUUCGAUGCUACGCGAAGAACCUUACCUACCCUUGAAAUCCUCGGAAUUCUGCAGAGAUGCGGAAGUGCCUUCGGGAACCGAGUGACAGGUGCUGCAUGGCUGUCGUCAGCUCGUGUCGUGAGAUGUUGGGUUAAGUCCCGUAACGAGCGCAACCCCUAUCCUUAGUUGCCAGCGCGUCAUGGCGGGAACUCUAAGGAGACUGCCGGUGAUAAACCGGAGGAAGGUGGGGAUGACGUCAAGUCAUCAUGGCCCUUACGGGUAGGGCUACACACAUGCUACAAUGGGGAGUACAGAGGGUUGCUAAGCCGUGAGGUGGAGCUAAUCCCAGAAAACUUCUCGUAGUCCGGAUUGGAGUCUGCAACUCGACUCCAUGAAGUUGGAAUCGCUAGUAAUCGCGAAUCAGAACGUCGCGGUGAAUACGUUCUCGGGCCUUGUACACACCGCCCGG
rnacentral:rRNA from 1 species